rnacentral:rRNA from 1 species
GAUGAACGCUGGCGGCGUGCCUAAUACAUGCAAGUCGAGCGAACAGACGAGGAGCUUGCUCCUCUGACGUUAGCGGCGGACGGGUGAGUAACACGUGGAUAACCUACCUAUAAGACUGGGAUAACUUCGGGAAACCGGAGCUAAUACCGGAUAAUAUAUUGAACCGCAUGGUUCAAUAGUGAAAGACGGUUUUGCUGUCACUUAUAGAUGGAUCCGCGCCGCAUUAGCUAGUUGGUAAGGUAACGGCUUACCAAGGCAACGAUGCGUAGCCGACCUGAGAGGGGGAGCGGCCAAAGUGGAAAUGAGACCGGGACCAGACUCCCACGGGAGGCAGAAGUAGGGGAUUUUCCGGAAUGGGCGAAACCCUGACGGAGCAACGCCGAGGGAGAGAUAAAGGUUUUCGGAUCGUAAAACCCUUUUAUUAGGGAAAAACAAAUGUGUAAGUAAAUAUGCAGGUCGUGGCGGGACCUAAGGAGAAAGCCACGGCUAACUACGU